UGCUGCUGUGUGGGAUUUCACUUGUGCUGGGGCAGUCAUUGUACUGUACUAUGGUGUUUGGCUCUGCUGGGGCAGUGUUUUGUGCCGUAAUACCGUAUUGCUGGUCCCAUCUACUUGUGUUUGCACUGCCUUCUGUCAAUUUUUACUCACCUAC